UACGGGGGGUGCGAGCGUUGUCCGGAAUCACUGGGCGUAAAGGGCGCGUAGGUGGCCUGAUAAGGGUGUGGUGAAAGUCCGGGGCUCAACCCCGGAUCGGCCGUGCCGACUGUUGGGCUGGAGUACUGUAGGGGCAGGCGGAAUUCCGGGUGUAGCGGUGAAAUGCGUAGAUAUCUGGAGGAACACCGGUGGCGAAGGCGGCAUCCUGGACCGAUACUGACACUGAGGAGCGAAAGCCAGGGGAGCAAACGGG
rnacentral:rRNA from 1 species